rnacentral:rRNA from 1 species
AGUCGUUGAGCUAACCCUGGAGCUUGCGAAAGGGAGGCAGGCGCCGACGGUGUGGUUGGUAAUUGGGGUGAAGUCGUAACAAGGUAGCCGUAGGUGAACCUGCAGAAGGAUCA